rnacentral:rRNA from 1 species
UGAGGAAUAUUGCGCAAUGGGGGCAACCCUGACGCAGCAACGCCGCGUGAGUGAGGAAGGUUUUCGGACCGUAAAGCUCUGUCGAGCGGGAAGAAAUGCAUGGUGGCUAAUAGCCUGCAUACUUGACGGUACCACCAAAGGAAGCACCGGCUAACUCCGUGCCAGCAGCCGCGGUAAUACGGGGGGUGCAAGCGUUGUUCGGAAUUAUUGGGCGUAAAGAGCGUGUAGGCGGCUUGGCAAGUCAGAUGUGAAAGCCCUGGGCUUAACCCAGGAAGUGCAUUUGAAACUGCUUAGCUAGAGUAGGGGAGAGGGAAGUGGAAUUCCUGGUGUAGAGGUGAAAUUCGUAGAUAUCAGGAGGAACACCGGUGGCGAAGGCGACUUCCUGGCCCUAUACUGACGCUGAGACGCGAGAGCGUGGGUAGCAAACAG